AGCCGAAUAUGGGUAGAUAAUGAUGAUAUUUUUUAAUAGGUACAUCUUCUUUCAUACCAUGUGAUUAACUUACCAUGUCUUUAAGUAAAUUGCCAGGAUGUCAUCUUCAGUGUGGCAACCCUUUAUGGAAGCGUUCAAUUGCCAGCACCAAGCUAGAGCGGGACAAGAGAUACAACACGCACGUGUUAGAGCGAGAGCGGCGAGGGAACAGCCGCCAUAUUGCCUUUCAUUGGGCGAACGGAAGAGUGAAGAAGAUGAAUUUUCAAAGAUACUGAAAAACCUGCGAGGCUUUCCUACGGGUCAUCAGCUGGACCGGAUUCGUAUCUACGCUCAUCGAAUAGAAGGCAGAAGUCAUAUCCAUUGGACUAUCAUGGCCAUAUACAAGUACAAGUAUAGUUCAAUGAACUACCUGGUGGGAAGGUAGCUCAUCUACCCCCUUAACAUUAACCUAAUGCAAGCAGGAUUUGCCACCAUCUCUCGGACUAUACGUUGAAAAAAGCUCAACCAAAACUAGUUAAGUAAAUUUUUACGACAACGGUCAUUACGAUCUGGCGCACCGCUUUAAAUGGUUUAUAGUUAACAUUAAUUUGUAGUUAAUUUGGUGAUCGGUUAACAGGGUGACCAAAUACUUCAAAUUCGGGGGAAAAUUCAGGAAACUCCGGAUGGAUUUUUUUGCAAAUAUAGGCUACUUUUAGGCAAGCGUAGAAACUUUGCCAGAGUGGAUCCCUAGGAUUUGAUAUAAACGAGAGGGGGGGACUGACAAUUUUUAAAUAGUUCGAGAAACAGACAAUGAUUUAUUUGUACAAGUCAUAAUUCAACAUGCAUGAAAUACUAAUAAAUAAAAUAAUAAUAUAAUAAUAAUAAUAAAUAUACUUAAACAAUACACAUCACUAUCU
rnacentral:misc_RNA from 1 species